rnacentral:rRNA from 1 species
AAAUUGAAGAGUUUGAUCAUGGCUCAGAUUGAACGCUGGCGGCAGGCCUAACACAUGCAAGUCGAGCGGAAACGAGUUAUCAGAACCUUCGGGGGACGAUAGCGGCGUCGAGCGGCGGACGGGUGAGUAAUG